UGGGGAAUCUUCCGCAAUGGACGAAAGUCUGACGGAGCAACGCCGCGUGUAUGAAGAAGGCCUUCGGGUUGUAAAAUACUGUUGUUGGGGAAGAACCGGUUAUGUGAGAAUAUUGCAUAACUCUGACGGUACCCAACGAGGAAGCCCCGGCUAACUACGUGCCAGCAGCCGCGGUAACACGUAGGGGGCAAGCGUUGUCCGGAAUUAUUGGGCGUAAAGGGCGCGUAGGCGGCUAAUCAAGUCUGAUGUGAAAGUGCGGGGCUUAACCCCGUAAAGCAUUGGAAACUGGUUGGCUUGAGGACAGGAGAGGAAAGUGGAAUUCCACGUGUAGCGGUGAAAUGCGUAGAGAUGUGGAGGAACACCAGUGGCGAAGGCGACUUUCUGGACUGUAACUGACGCUGAGGCGCGAAAGCGUGGGGAGCGAACAGG
rnacentral:rRNA from 2 species